rnacentral:rRNA from 1 species
CAGUCGCCGCGGUAAUACGAAGGGGGCUAGCGUUGCUCGGAAUCACUGGGCGUAAAGGGUGCGUAGGCGGGUCUUUAAGUCAGGGGUGAAAUCCUGGAGCUCAACUCCAGAACUGCCUUUGAUACUGAAGAUCUUGAGUUCGGGAGAGGUGAGUGGAACUGCGAGUGUAGAGGUGAAAUUCGUAGAUAUUCGCAAGAACACCAGUGGCGAAGGCGGCUCACUGGCCCGAUACUGACGCUGAGGCACGAAAGCGUGGGGAGCAAACAGGAUUAGAUACCCGGGUAGUCCCUGUCUCUUAUAC